rnacentral:lncRNA from 1 species
UUUUAACUAUUAUAAAAGCCACCUGGGUGUGGAAGAGGUGGGACACUUUCAGUGAAAGCAUAGCCUGCUUUUUUUUUUUUUUAAGGUAUUCUAAUACCUAGGAGCUGGAGAGGUGGCUCUGCAGGCACAGCACUUGAUCCUCUUCCCAGCACCCAGGCCUGGGGAUUCACAACCACCUGGCAGCCCCAGCUCCAUCUGACCCCAGCAGAGUCCUGAACUCAAAAGGCAAGCAGCCAGAAUGCUCUUUUAGGAAAUGUCUAUUAGACACUGCAUUGAUUACUAUAUCAUAACCAUGCAGCUGUGUACACAGCUGUACCGCAGGGCAUGCUCACAGGACAGCUUUACUUACCCACUGAGCGGCAGUUCUCUGUCUUUAGGUCACACAUACAGAUAGCACUUGUAGGCCCACAGCUGGAAAUACCCACAUUUCCACAGACGUUGAUCUUAUAAACUGCAUUGUUUUUGGAGUCAACAGCUUCCCAUGUGUAACUAGAAAGAAAUAAAGGAGGCAAGCUUGUCAUUGUUAUUGAUCUGACAAUAAUCACCUUCUCUCUAGUCUGGCAUUCUAGCCAUAUUUGCUUUGACUACUACAAAUAAGAAGUUACUCCCAUUAACCACAGAUACCAAGUCAAAUUCGGCAAAACAUUUUGGAAAGGAGUUCAAGAUGGCUAGGAAGCCCUCAGACUACACAACCCCAUGUUUGUUCUAAGAACAUCAACGCCAUUAAGCAGAUACUAGAAUACACUGUGUGUAAAGUGGGACUGGUCCAGUCACCCCAGAGUUCUGAAGACCCAAAUGACUAUUAUUUUAGUUUGCUUUGAAUUAUCAUUAUUUUAUGUGUAUGGACGUUUUGCCAACAUGUCUAUUGUGCGCCACCUAUGUACAAUACCCAAGGAGUCCAGAAAGUGUCAGUCCCUCUGGAACUGGAGUUACAGGCGUUUGUGAGGUUCCAAGGAGUGCUAGGAUCAAACCUAAGUCUCCUAAAACAGCAGCCAGGGAAACUGCUGAGCCACCUCUCCAGUCCCUCCACGGGACUGUUCUUAACUCUCAAGCUUUUUAACCUCUUUGAGACAGGUGAAACGUCUGAUGCCCCUGCCUCCACCUCCUGAAUGCUGAGAUUACAGACUUACACCACCACACCUAGACUUAAGUGGUCUGAGGACCAAACACAGGCUUAGUUGAACAUUAGGCGAGCACUCUACCAAUUGGGCUUCAUCCCCAGUCCUGGGAUUCUUUUGUUCUUGAAAACUAGCUGUAAUGUGUAAGCAGGCCUGCUUUUGGUACAGACUACAGUCCUGACGUGACAGCCAUGCUAAGAACUGCCAUCUGCCUCACGAUGAGGUAAGAUCUACUGCAGGCUGCCUCACUACAGAGCUCAGCCAAAGGCACUCUAAGAGCUAUCUAUCAACCUCAACACCGGGGUAAAAUCAGUGAGGGGUGUUCCUUCUGCCCCAAGUACAUCAUCCUCAAUCCUCUACUCUUCCUGGGACUCAUUUCCUCAGCAAGAGUACAAGGAGGAAAGGAAGAGAAUAGGUACAAAGCUGCCUGAGCGGCUAAAUCAGAUUUGCUGGGAUAAACUUACCCAGAAGUAGGGAAGUGAGCCAGCUCCCACCCAUUCCCAGUGGACCACAUUUGGCUCUUUUAAGUAUGGCCUCACAGAAGUUCCCAAAGCUACCAGGCACUGUCCUGUCUGUCCCCCACCGUCCCCACCCCCACCACCCCCACCCUGCCCCAGCACCAACAGCUAUUAGACAACUCACUUAACCUUAGGUCUGGAGUCCAAUCAGACCUCCACCCCUCCCCCAUCCCACCCCAAAGCAUCCCUAUCCAAGCAUCUGGCAGGACCAGGGAAUUUGUGGCCACUAAGAUACUACAAACCUGAAAAACUGGUUACUUAAGUGCUGGGCCUGGGGUGAUGUCAGGCUUUAAAGCAGGAACUACUCAACUCUGACAGACUGAUUACCUCCAGAGCCAGGACGAUUAUGCCAGAGGAAAAAAAUCUCAAGCAAUCUAGCUGACCCAGAGAAAACCAUCAAUAAAGCCUUGUUCCUUCUUCCUUUGGGGGGCGGGGGGGGGGGGGUAGGGGGUGCAGCAGGAAACUUAAUUUGUUUCACGGUGUAUACUGUUUUUCUUUGGGGGGGGAGCCUGGAAUUGUAAAUGUCCUUCCUCCUAUGUCUCCCCACUACCGAGCUUCUACGUUACUGCUUGAGAAACGCAACAGUGUAUAAAGUGUAUAAGAUGGCAACAGUUCCCCAGCUUCCUGCUAACCUGUUCCAGUAAGGGAAGGAAAGUAAGUGAACUCGGCACAGGACAAGCUCUGCUGGGAACUGAGCAGGCACAUUACCGAAGGUAACAGACAGACCCCGUAACUAUGUCAGGCUGGGAAACUUACUCUUCUGAGCCCUGACAGACAAGCAGCAGAGCUUUAGGGGUGGGGGAAAAAAGAAAGGAGAGCUACUUGACCUAGGCUGCAGGACUGAGUCAGCGGCAGGUGUGGAGGCCACAGAAGCCACGCCUGUCCUGCAGUCUUUAAAUAUAUUUGAAACAAAUGCAGCCCUCGGCACUUAGAAACUUUCUUUAAACGUUUAGGUAGUGAUUUGUAGGUUAUCAGUACAUUUCUGUUACAGAAAUGCUAAACUCUCAUUGGGAGCCUGUGAUUAAGUUUUUCCAAGCUGGCAGGCAGUUCACUGAAACCCUUAGCUUGUCAUCAUUACAGCUCCUCCCAGUCCGAUGACUGAAGUGCCUGCCUGUACCACAGAAAAGAAGUUAGCAAUGAGAACCAGGUCUAAAGAAAUGCAGACAGAAGAAAACUGAAAAGGGUGAAAUGAGCUGCACAGAGGUCAGGAGGAAAGGCUGCUUUCUGAAAGCGUACUUUUCUUCUAUCUGUGUCUCAUACAAAAUCAAAAUGGAAGUCAUGAUAUACAUACAGAAGGCAGAGCCUAUCACCUACUUUAGUUCUUGAAUAGACUUUCUCUGGAACUGACUUACCGGCUCACAGGCAGCCCUCCAUAGGCGCCAGCCCUCCAUAGGCGCAUGCACUCAGCCCCAUCAAAUUGGCCCACAGUUCCCGGUGGGUGGGGGGUAGGGCACUAGCUUGGCUUAGUCACAUCACUCAAGAGCAAAGAAACAGUUGCAAUGUUUCCUAAACUGAAACCUGAUGACCUGCAGGCUAUUAACACUUGAGAAGGCCUAAUUCCAGCAAACAUUGCAGCUGCUUUAAAACAAUCCAACAUGCUUGGCUCCUGAGCACAAUCAGGCAACUGAAAUAAUGUGUCAGGAACCUCAUGGGAAAAUAGUUAAUUAGUUCUGCAGAACAGUGAAAGUGAGUCAACAUGCAGAUACAUGUGCUCUGGUACUAUUACUUUAAAAUUAGUUUAUAAUAAGCCCAAGAGUGGUAGGAAUAUAUGACAAUUCUUUUAAACAAAUGCCAUGUUUAUUAAGGAGAGGGCCGCAUGUUUGCAGCCAAGUGUAAUGGUGCAGGUACAGGCAGUGAAGGAUGGAGGGUCAAUAGUUCAGACAGCCCUGGCUACACAGUGAGGCCUAGGCCAGCCCAGACUAGGCAGGAAACCAUUUCAGGCUAGGCAGAGCGGUGCAUGUUUUUAAUCCCGAUGCUCUGGAAGCUGAUAGUCUGUUGAGUUCAAAGCCGGACUGAUCUACAUUCAGAGUUCUUGGACAACCAGGGACCAGGGACCUUGUCUC